rnacentral:misc_RNA from 1 species
AGGAUAAAAAAUAUCGAGGUCAACUGCCCGACGAAACCUUUCCGGUGGAGAAACCAAAGACAGAGAAUUAGGCGAUGAACGCUCAUACGCCGCCGGAAGCAGCUGCGGUGCACCCGGCAAUAGCACCGCUGUCAUACCUGCUGGGGACAUGGAGGGGCCAAGGCGAAGGUGGCUAUCCAACCAUCGCUUCUUUCUCUUAUGGCGAAGAGCUCCAUUUCUCUGCCAUUUCUGGCAAGCCUGUGAUAUCUUAUACUCAAAAGACAUGGAAGCUCAGCUCUGGAGAGCCUAUGCAUGCAGAAAGCGGCUACUGGCGGCCCAAGCUUGAUGGCUCUAUCGAACUUGUGAUAUCUCAGAGUACUGGUCUUGUUGAAGUUCAGAAAGGAAGCUAUAAUGCGCAAGAGAAAACUGUCAAGCUUCACAGUCAACUGGUGGGCAAUGCUUCUAAGGUAAAAGAGAUAAGUCGUGUGUUUGAAUUUGCGAAUGGAGAAUUGUCUUAUGUGGUUCAAAUGGCUACCCAUCUUAAUAAUCUUACACCACAUUUGAAAGCUGUGCUCAAGAAGCUCUAAUAGUGUUAUGCCUAUUUAAAUUUGGCAAACAUGUAAUCAGGCGUUCUUGAUUGGCUCAUUGAUAUUUGUUGCUGCUAAGUCCUUCACAAGUUGCUAGUUUUUUUUUUCCCCCCAGAUGUUGCUGUAAAUAAGGCCGUUGGUCGAGUGAUGACAUCUCCAAUUUAAGCUAUCGUCACCGGGCACAUUCUCAGUAAAGUUUGAAUACAUAUUGAUAAAAAAUUUCAUGUUCACAUUAUCUUUUCAUCACUGAUGCAUAAGGAAACUCUUAAAACUUUCAUUGCUUAUUUAAUUGAGUUGAAUUCCAUCAAUUAAUUAAUGGGUUUCCAAACAAGCAAUGGAAUGGUUCACAGGAGUCUUCUGCUGGAUAAUUUCUCCUAAAUAAUUUUAUGCACAUUUAGAUUUGACAAGAGUGAUAAAUAUAUCAUAUUUAUAUUAAUGGUUUCUCACUUGAAUGGCUCUAAACUUUUGCCUUUGUUUGGAUUGAGGGUAUGGAGAGCAGAGCAGGGAAAGGGAAAUGGAGAGCAG